GUCUUUUUGUUUUAGAUUUAAAGUCUGGCCUGCCCACUGAUUAAUUGAAUGGCCGCGGUAUUUUGACCGUGCUAAGGUAGCAUAAUCAUUAGUUUUUUAAUUGAAAGCUGGAAUGAAGGGUUGCAUGAGAAAAAGGCUGUCUCUAUUUAAAUUUUUUAGAAUUUUAUUUUUAAGUUAAAAAGCUUAAAUUUUAUUAAAAGACGAGAAGACCCUAUAGAGUUUAAUAGAUUUAUUAAUUUUUUAUUUAGAAUUUAAUUAAUUGGUAAAAUAUAUUUAUUUGAUUGGGGUGAUUAGAAAAUUUAAUUAACUUUUCUUAAUUUUUAUAUUUAUAUAUAGUUAUAUGAUCCGAUAAAAAUUUGAUUAUAAGAAAAAUUACCUUAGGGAUAACAGCGUAAUUUUAUUAGAGAGUUCUAAUCGAUAAUAAAGAUUGCGA
rnacentral:rRNA from 1 species